rnacentral:rRNA from 1 species
GAGUUUGAUCCUGGGUCAGGACGAACGCUGGCGGCAUGCCUAAUACAUGCAAGUCGAACGCCAAAUCUUCCUGCUUGCAGGAAGAGGCGGAGUGGCGAACGGGUGAGUAACACGUGAGGAACUUGCCCAUAAGAGGGGGAUAACACCCGGAAACGGGUGCUAAUACCGCAUAGGUUUUCCCAGUGCAUGCUGGGAAAAUAAAAGGUGGCUCUGCUACCGCUUAUGGAUAGCCUCGCGGCGCAUUAGCUAGUUGGUAAGGUAAAGGCCUACCAAGGCCAUGAUGCGUAGCCGACUUGAGAGGGUGAUCGGCCACACUGGAACUGAGACACGGUCCAGACUCCUACGGGAGGCAGCAGUAGGGAAUCUUCCACAAUGGGUGCAAGCCUGAUGGAGCAAUGCCGCGUGAGUGAAGAAGGACUUCGGUUCGUAAAGCUCUGUUGUUGGGGAAGAACACGGAUAGGAGUCACUGCCUAUCCCUUGACGGUACCGAACCAGAAAGUCACGGCUAACUACGUGCCAGCAGCCGCGGUAAUACGUAGGUGACAAGCGUUGUCCGGAUUUAUUGGGCGUAAAGCGAGCGCAGGCGGUCCGGUAAGUCUGAUGUGAAAGCCCACGGCUCAACCGUGGAACGGCAUUGGAAACUGGCGGACUUGAAUGUAGCAGAGGAAAGUGGAAUUCCAUGUGUAGCGGUGGAAUGCGUAGAUAUAUGGAGGAACACCAGUGGCGAAAGCGACUUUCUGGGCUAUGAUUGACGCUGAGGCUCGAAAGCGUGGGGAGCGAACAGGAUUCGAUACCCUGGU